rnacentral:ribozyme from 1 species
GGGGCUGUAUGCCCCACCUUAAUGCGGCUCAUCUUGAAUGAACGGUCACAAGCCCGAUAACGCAGAGUGAGGA